rnacentral:lncRNA from 13 species
GCUACAUGUCUCACAGUUUCAGACGACAAAAGAAAAACAUUUUCUCUCACUCUUUCUGUUUUUCCUCUCUCAACUAUCACUAUUUCUCUCUCUAAUCGUAUAUCUUUCUUUCUUUCCUCAACAAUAAACUUCACAGACUGACAUGGAAACAGGAAGUAGAUCAAGCAAUAGAGUGCCUGAUUGGGAGUUUCAACUGCACUAUCUCACAUAGCAAACAAUGAGGCAAACAAUGUUGUAAAACAAGCUUUAUUCUUUGUAUUUGUCAAGAAUCAAUAUCAUUGAUUUAAAAGUAAAAAAAAUGUGUCUACCAAUUGCAUAUUGACCCUUUAAGCUAAAAUGAAUGACAAACACAACAGCAACUAAUGAGGGACUCUUCAUACACAGCAAAACAUCUCAAGGGCGGAUUGUGGAAAGACUCAGUUCUGUGCUGCUGAGCCAUCAGACUGUGACCCGGCCAUGGCUGGUUCAUGUUUCUUCGUCUCCACGCGGCAGUCCUCGGGACAGACCUUCUCCCUCCAGCUACGAGGAGAGUCCAGAGGCUACAUCGCUGUAGGCUUGUCCAAAAACACUACCCUGGGCGUUAAUGACACUACCUACGUGUGUGCCAACAACAACGGCACAAUGAAGUUCUUCACCACUCUCCUCCUAAAUAAAGUUCUGACUGUCACUGGCACGCUGCCUGUGGACUCUGUGAAGGGCUCUGUCAACGGUCAGAUCAUCCAGUGCACCUUCUCUGCUACUCUCCCAGAAGCUACCAGGAGCACCAGGAGCGCUGACACCAGCUUCGUCCUCUCCGUUUCCAACGGGACCGUAAUUAACGGUGAGGCACUCAUCCAAACACGCUCCAGGGUGAAGCUUCCUCUAGAUACCGACCUAGGACCAGCUUCCUCUUCCCCAAUCCCAACCUUAACGAUUAGUGGGGGAAAUGCUCAACUGACCCAAGAUCAGCGUAUACAGGCAACUUCACCCUAUACCUCCAAACACCCUGUGGACAUUGUAUCCCCUCUUUCUGGGCCAUCUCUAACUCUCCAUGUCUCUCUCUCUUGCUCAUCUUUUUCUCCUCCCCCAGGAACCCUGGGUACUCCUAAGGUUGUCCUGGUCAGCAAUGCAGCCGUGGACCUGGCCAACCCCAACAGUACUGUGAUCAACUCUUUGAACGCCGCCCCCACUAAUUCUACUUCCUCCACUACUAAUACUUCCACCACUACUGCUACUUCCACCACUACUGCUACUUCCAACAUUGCUGCUACUCCCACCACUGCCUCCAGCCAUGCCUUGGGCCUGCAGCACGCCCUGUCUCAAGGUACCAACCCCAUUGGAAAUAGCUACUGCUAA